rnacentral:misc_RNA from 1 species
GUAAAAAGGUUCCGUGCCACAAGUACAGAACAGGAGUGAUCCUUCUGUUAGGUGAACACUUGCCGAAGCCUUAGCAGCCCGAAAGGGUAGCCCUCCGCGACUGAGUAAAUACAGAGAGGUGCUUUGAAUGCUAGUCAGUCUCGAACUGGCGACACUGCCAAAUUGCGGGGACACCCUAAAGACCUUGACACCAAGCACCAUCGGAAACGGUGGUGUGGCCGAGCUAAUUGCCCUGGGUAUGGUAAUAGUUCAAGGUAUGAGACUCCCUCCGCCAGGGGGGAAAAGAAGUCGAAAUGGGCAAUCCGCAGCCAAGUCCUACAGCCUUCCUCUUGCCGGGGAGGCCACGGACGCUGUUCACAGGCCAAAUGGUAGUGGGUGAACCUAUUAGGUUCGCUUAAGAUAUGGUCGGUCUCUGGGCGAAAGCCCAGGGGUAAGUUUCACUGAAACCCUCCACAAACGUUCCGUAGGUGAACCUGCGGAAGGAUCAUUAAUGAGUUAGGGUCUCCUAGGCCCGACCUCCCAACCCUUUGCUUACUAGACCUCAGUUGCUUCGGCAGGCCCGUCUUAAUCUGACCGCUGGAGGACCGCCUAAUGCGGGUGUUACCUCUGGCCAGUGUCUGCCGAUAGCCUAAUCUCCUAACUCUGGAUCAAUCAUGAUUUACAAUGUCUAAGUGAUUUUAUUCAAUUAAAAGCAAAAACUUUCAACAACGGAUCUCUUGGUUCUGGCAUCGAUGAAGAACGCAGCGAAAUGCGAUAAGUAAUGCGAAUUGCAGAAUUCCAGUGAGUCAUCGAAUCUUUGAACGCACAUUGCGCCCUUUGGUAUUCCGAAGGGCAUGCCUGUUCGAGCGUCAUUAUCACCCCCUCAAGCCCCUGUGCUUGGUGUUGGACGGCUUGGUGGAGCGAGUUCACACUUUCCACCCCUCCUAAAGACAAUGACGGCGGCCUGCGGAACCCCCGGUACACUGAGCUUCUUUAUUGAGCACGUAUCGGAUGAAGGGUGCCCGGGACCCGGUCUUCUCCCUCACGGGAACACUUUUUUUUUAAGGUUGACCUCGGAUCAGGUAGGAAUACGCGCUGAACUUAAGC